UCUAUUAUUGUAUAUUUCAGAUUUACCGUGGAAUCUAUUCUCAGGCGCGUUAGAGAGUAAAUGCAGUAGUCUCUUCCAGCCUCGAAGCGGAUAAAAAGGAUCAUCGAACAACAACAAAUAACCCUUGGGCUCGGAAAAGUACGGCAAAAAGCAGUUUCUGUCUUGUUUCCGGCUUCUAAAUAACAGUACGGGAAUGCAAAAAAAUCGAAAGAAUCUUCCUGGCCUCUAAGACUCCCGUGGCUUAGAUUACUAUCAGAAGUUCCCGAGGAGCUGAGAAGAGAGACCAUAGCCAAUUAGAAAACUCAUGCGCGAAGGAUGUGAAGUCUACAUUUUUUUACUGCUGAUAUAUAUCUAGACCAAUCUUUUAGCUAUCCUUCUACUCGCCUGCCUACCUUCAUCCUUAUUCUACCUUUGUUAGCUCGGAGCUUCUCUCUUGGCUAGCGAUCGUAAGGGCUUUGAGAGCAUUGUCAGCCUGAAGACGGACGGGCAAUCGCCUAAUCCAAAGGCAGUAACAGGAUG
rnacentral:lncRNA from 1 species